rnacentral:rRNA from 1 species
GACGAACGCUGGCGGCGUGCUUAACACAUGCAAGUCGAACGGAAAGGCCCCUUUGGGGGUACUCGAGUGGCGAACGGGUGAGUAACACGUGAGUAACCUGCCCUUGACUUCGGGAUAACUUCAGGAAACUGGGGCUAAUACCGGAUAGGAAUCCUUGCUGCAUGGUGGGGGUUGGAAAGCUUCGGCGGUUUUGGAUGGACUCGCGGCUUAUCAGCUUGUUGGUGGGGUAGUGGCUUACCAAGGCUUUGACGGGUAGCCGGCCUGAGAGGGCGACCGGCCACAUUGGGACUGAGAUACGGCCCAGACUCCUACGGGAGGCAGCAGUGGGGAAUAUUGCACAAUGGGCGGAAGCCUGAUGCAGCAACGCCGCGUGCGGGAUGACGGACUUCGGGUUGUAAACCGCUUUCAGCAGGGGCGAAGCUUGUGGUGACGGUACCUGCAGAAGAAGCACCGGCUAACUACGUG